CCAGACCCCUACGGGAGGCAGCAGUGGGGAAUAUUGCACAAUGGGGGAAACCCGGAUGCAGCAACGCCGCGUGAGUGAGGAAGUAUUUCGGAAUGUAAAGCUCUAUCAGCAGGGAAUAGAAAAGAAGGUACCUGAAAAAGAAGCCCCGGCUAACUACGUGCCAGCAGCCGCGGUAAUACGUAGGGGGCAAGCGUUAUCCGGAUUUACUGGGUGUAAAGGGAGCGUAGACGGAAAGGCAAGUCAGAAGUGAAAGCCCAAGGCUCAACCAUGGGACUGCUUUUGAAACUGUCAAACUAGAGUACGGGAGAGGUAAGAGGAAUUCCUAGUGUCGCGGUGAAAUGCGUAGAUAUUAGGAGGAACACCAGUGGCGCGGGCGGCUUACUGGGCAGUAACUGACGUUGAGGCUCGAAAGCGUGGGGAUCAAACAGGAUUAGAUACCCGGGUAU
rnacentral:rRNA from 1 species